rnacentral:lncRNA from 10 species
CCUGGGGAAUCAGAUGGACACAGAAUGGGGAGAUCUAAUUAGAGAAGGACUGGGAGGUGAAGACCUGAAACAUGGGGGCUGGAGCCAGAGACCAGGCAGACAAGUUGUAGCUGACCUUUUUGUGGAGAAAUCUGUUUGGGAAAUAUCAUUUAAAUUAUGGCAGAUCCAAGACUAUGUGAUAUCGAAAGUAAGAUGUUUCUAAAAGGUAUAUUAACAUAAGAGUUUACAAGGAAUAGACCAAAGGAUAAGUUCAAAAUUUUUUUUUUUUUGAGACGGAGUUUCACUCUCAUCGCCCAGGCUGGAGUGCAAUGGUGCAAGCUUGGCUCACUGCAACCUCUGCCUCCGUGGUUCAAGUGAUCUCCUGUUUCAGCCUCCUGAGUAGCUGGGAUUACAGGUGCCUGCCACCAGGCCCGGCUGUUUGUUUUUUGUUUGUUUGUUUGUUUGUUUGUUUGUUUUUUAGUAGAGACAGGGUUUCAUUAUGUUGGUCAGGCUGGUCUCAAAUUCCUGACCUCAGGUGGUCCACCCACCUCCGCCUCUAAAAGUGCUGGGAUUACAGGCGUGAGCCACCGCGCCCGGCCAGUCCAAAUGUUUUAGUUGAGAGGAUGCUCAACUUUUCUUCCUGAGGAUCGACCUCCUAUUCAGCUUGCCUUUUAUUGUUUUUUUUUUCUCAAAAAUAAUACAAAAGAUAAACUGAACUGUCACCCUGCUCCCAAAGACUCUUUUGCUACUCCAUGGUCUUACCCACCCACCUAAAGGUGUGAUGUGGCCCAGUGCAUGGGGCCAGUUGAGUGGGUUGCUGUCUUCACUGUCUCACAAACAUCCUAGGCCAGACAGUCUCAGGCAGCUCUCUCCCCUGACAUCCCAUUCUUCAGUCUUCUGCCCAUACAAAUGCAACUCCACCUGAAGGAGUGAUAAGAGCAAUGCUUCCUCUUUGAAACAUCCUCUACUAACUCCAGAUAGCAGAUAGCAAAGACAUGCAGUCCUCUCCACCUCUCAGGACUUCAACUAUUUGUACUGUGUUAGGCAUACACCAAACAUUAACCCCAUAGACACACAGACAAGGGCGAUAACCCACAUGAGAAUAGCCUGCAUAAACACUAAAUUACUUGUCUCCAAUUU